GAGAAAAAGUCGUAUAAAAGGAGAGAGAAAAGGCGUUUGAAAUCAGUUGAGUGAGGAUCUCCGACACGGCAACAACUGCUGUGCUCUAUUUGUCACUAAAUCGCAAUCAUAAUCAAUUAUGGCGUUGUGCUGCUGUUGGUUGUUGUCCUCAAAUACUACACCACCAAGACUACAAUUUAUGCUGCCCGAGCUGCAUCACCAAAGAGCCCUAACCCAUCCCCAGCAACGUCAACCUGCAGAAGGAAAGGCCAGUUUGUAUGUCGUUCAGAAGGUCACGGAGAUCAUUACGUAAAACUGUCAAUGCGCAACAACCGGAUGUUACACUACCAAGGCCGCUGAGUAUUACACCACAACCUAUGAUGUCCCGAACUACUACACCGAAGCCUCAAAGUAUAAUUCUGCCUCGAGUUACACCACCAAGAAGCGGAGUACUACACCACCAAGGCAGCGGAGUACUACACCACCAAGGCAGCGGAGUACUACACCACCAAGGCAGCGGAGUACUACACCACCAAGGCAGCGGAGUACUACACCACCAAGGCAGCGGAGUACUACACCACCAAGGCAGCGGAGUACUACACCACCAAGGCAGCGGAGUACUACACCACCAAGGCAGCGGAGUACUACACCACCAAGGCAGCGGAGUACUACACCACCAAGGCAGCGGAGUACUACACCACCAAGGCAGCGGAGUACUACACCACCAAGGCAGCGGAGUACUACACCACUGCGUAUGCUGCCCCAGCCUUUUAGUCCGUUCCCAGUUACUACACCGAGGCUCCAGCUUAUUACGCCACAACGUGGUCAAAAACUACACCGAAGCGCCCAAGUACUGCUCUGCCCCGAAUUACUUCACACGGUUGCUCCUUCGUACUACGUUGGACCGAAAUGCUAUUCUGAGGCUCCAGUUUACUUCACUACAACUUAAGCUGCACCUUGCUACACCUAGCUAAUACAUCAAGGCACCCAAGUACUACAUCGACGAGUCCGCAUGUUGCACUACAACCCACGCUGCCCUCAGCUACCAUACCGAGGCUCCGCUCCAAUACCGAUGCUUCCAAGUACUACACAACCAUGGCACUCGAUCUACUGCACCGAAGUUGCGAAGUAUUCCACUGCCCAGAGUUACUACACCGCCAAAGCACCUGAAUGUUACAUCACUACAUUCGCUUCUCCAGUUUACUACAGGGAGGUUUUACAUACCAGAGCCGAAAUUUCUAAUUUAUCUUGUGUUCAUAAUUGUUGGUCAUAUCUCAAUAGUUACUAGCGACUGGGAAUCGUUGUUGAUCUGAAAUGAGAAAAUAAAUUUUAUAAUGGUAA